rnacentral:sRNA from 1 species
GGCUCUCUCGGCGGGCACACAGUUGAACGUGGUGCUAGAAAAGUUCAGUGUGGUCUUCGUUGCAAAAAAUCUGACAAAUCUCACCGUAUUUUACACAAUAUCCACACACCAUCACUACAUCUCUUGAUUCCUCUCAAUGAUGUUGAUUUUUCAUUUUGUGCAAGGCCCUAGCCUUUCCUAACACUAACCCCUAACCUAAUCCUCUAAUGGAAGAGUGAGAGUGUAUUAGAUAAUAUAUGUAAGUGUGCAAUGUAUGUAGUUUUAAUGGGCGAGGUGCAAAGCCGGGUACAGCCUCCAACUUGCUGAAGAAGUGGGAUCUAUCAUAGGGGACUUUAACUGCUUCAACUACACCACUACAGUCGUACAUGCGUAGUACUAGAGCAAUACAUCCACGCCACUAAGGGAUAUAUAUCCCCACCGGGCCUCUUCAUGUUCCAUGAAUGGCGGCCUAUCUGCCAAGUAUCUACAACCUGCCUACACAUAUAUAUCUAUAUACAAGCACUAGCCCGAGUUCACUGAAUAACACACAAAUAAUCCCUGCCUCUGUCUGUUCUUACUCUACUUAACUCUAUUCCCAAAUCCUGGUUAUCUGGUGCACAUACAAACAAUAUAUAUCAAAAUCACAGUGAUAGCGCGUAACACACCCCCUAUUGAGCAAACAAGCCAUCCC